UACGGCCAUAUCACAUAUAUCGGUUUCCGUACGAUCACCGAAGUUAAGUAACGUCAAGCUUGGUCAGUAAUUAGAUGGAUGACCUCUUGGAAAUAUCAAGUGGUGUAAG